rnacentral:rRNA from 1 species
CGGGUGCACUGAUCCAGCCGGGCCUUUCCCUCUGUGGAACCCCAUGGCCUUCACUGGCUGUGGUGGGGAAACAGGACUUUUACUUUGAAAAAAUUAGAGUGCUCCAGGCAGGCCUAUGCUCGAAUACAUUAGCAUGGAAUAAUAGAAUAGGACGUGUGGUUCUAUUUUGUUGGUUUCUAGGACCGCCGUAAUGAUUAAUAGGGACAGUCGGGGGCAUCAGUAUUCAAUUGUCAGAGGUGAAAUUCUUGGAUCUAUUGAAGACUAACUACUGCGAAAGCAUUUGCCAAGGAUGUUUUCAUUGAUAAGGAACGAAAGUUAGGGGAUCGAAGACGAUCAGAUACCGUCGUAGUCUUAACUAUAAACUAUGCCCGACUAGGGAUCGGACGAUGUUAUUCUUUGACGCGUUCGGCACCUUUCGAGAAAUCAAAGUGCUUGGGCUCCAGGGGGAGUAUGGUCGCAAGGCUGAAACUUAAAGAAAUUGACGGAAGGGCACCACCAGGGGUGGAACCUGCGGCUUAAUUUGACUCAACACGGGGAAACUCACCAGGUCCAGACACAGUGAGGAUUGACAGAUUGAGAGCUCUUUCUUGAUUCUGUGGGUGGUGGUGCAUGGCCGUUCUUAGUUGGUGGAGUGAUUUGUCUGCUUAAUUGCGAUAACGAACGAGACCUUAACCUGCUAAAUAGCCCGUACUGCUUUGGCAGUUCGCCGGCUUCUUAGAGGGACUAUCGG